GACGAACGCUGGCGGCGUGCUUAACACAUGCAAGUCGAGCGGAAAGGCCCCUUUGGGGGUACUCGAGCAGCGAACGGGUGAGUAACACGUGAGUAAUCUGCCCUUCACUUCGGGAUAGCUCCGGGAAACCGGGAUUAAUACCGGAUGGGACACAUCACCGCAUGGUGUGUGUGUGGAAAGUUUUUUCGGUGGGGGAUGUGCUCGCGGCCUAUCAGCUUGUUGGUGGGGUAAUGGCCUACCAAGGCUUCGACGGGUAGCCGGCCUGAGAGGGUGACCGGUCACACUGGGACUGAGACACGGCCCAGACUCCUACGGGAGGCAGCAGUGGGGAAUAUUGGACAAUGGGCGGAAGCCUGAUCCAGCAACGCCGCGUGAGGGAUGACGGCCUUCGGGUUGUAAACCUCUUUCAGUGCCGACGAAGCCUUUGGGUGACGGUAGGUGCAGAAGAAGGACCGGCCAACUACGUGCCAGCAGCCGCAGUAACAC
rnacentral:rRNA from 1 species